rnacentral:rRNA from 1 species
GAUUAACGCUGGCGGCGUGCAUAACACAUGCAAGUCGAACGAUGAAACUUUAAUGACCCCUUCGGGGAGAAUUAAAGCGGAUUAGUGGCGAACGGGUGAGUAACGCGUGAGUAACCUGCCUUACACAAGGGGAUAGCCUUUGGAAACGAAGAAUAAUACCCUAUAAAACCAUAAAAGCACAUGCAAUUAUGGUCAAAGUGAUAGCGGUGUAAGAUGGACUUGCGUCUGAUUAGCUAGUUGGUGAGAUAAAAGCCCACCAAGGCAACGAUCAGUAGCCGGCUUGGGGGAGUGUACGGCAACAUUGGGACUGGGACACGGCCCAGACUCCUACGGGAGGCAGCAGUGGGGAAUUUGGCACAAUGGGGGAAACCCUGAUGCAGCGACGCCGCGUGAUUUAGAAGGCCUUCGGGUUGUAAAAAUCUUUUGUAUAGGAAGAAAAUGACAGUACUAUACGAAUAAGGUCCGGCUAAUUACGUG